GAUGAACGCUGGCGGCGUGCUUAACACAUGCAAGUCGAACGAAGCAUUUGCGACAGAUUUUUUCGGAAUGAAGUUGCUUAUGACUGAGUGGCGGACGGGUGAGUAUCGCGUGGGUAACCUGCCUUGUACUGGGGGAUAGCAGCUGGAAACGGCUGGUAAUACCGCAUAAGCGCACAAUGUUGCAUGACAUGGUGUGAAAAACUCCGGUGGUAUAAGACGGACCCGCGUCUGAUUAGCUAGUUGGUGAGAUAACAGCCCACCAAGGCGACGAUCAGUAGCCGACCUGAGAGGGUGACCGGCCACAUUGGGACUGAGACACGGCCCAGACUCCUACGGGAGGCAGCAGUGGGGAAUAUUGCACAAUGGAGGAAACUCUGAUGCAGCGACGCCGCGUGAGUGAAGAAGUAAUUCGUUAUGUAAAGCUCUAUCAGCAGGGAAGAUAGUGACGGUACCUGACUAAGAAGCUCCGGCUAAAUACGUG
rnacentral:rRNA from 1 species